rnacentral:rRNA from 1 species
ACGGGUGAGUAACACGUAUGCAACCUACCUUCGAACAGGAGAAUAACCCGGCGAAAGUCGGACUAAUACUCCAUAAGUACAGGGAUCCCGCAUGGGAAUAUUGUUAAAGAUUUAUCGGUUGAAGAUGGGCAUGCGUUCCAUUAGCUAGUUGGUGAGGUAACGGCUCACCAAGGCAACGAUGGAUAGGGGAACUGAGAGGUUUAUCCCCCACACUGGUACUGAGACACGGACCAGACUCCUACGGGAGGCAGCAGUGAGGAAUAUUGGUCAAUGGAGGCAACUCUGAACCAGCCCACGUCGCGUGAAGGAUGACGGCCCUACGGGUUGUAAACUUCUUUUGUAAGGGAAUAAAGUUUAGUACGUGUACUAUUUUGCGUGUACCUUACGAAUAAGGAUCGGCUAACUCCGUGCCAGCAGCCGC